rnacentral:rRNA from 1 species
AUUGAACGCUGGCGGCAGGCCUAACACAUGCCAGUCGAGCGGAUGAAGGGAGCUUGCUCCUGGAUUCAGCGGCGGACGGGUGAGUAAUGCCUAGGAAUCUGCCUGGUAGUGGGGGAUAACGUCCGGAAACGGGCGCUAAUACCGCUUACGUCCUGAGGGAGAAAGUGGGGGAUCUUCGGACCUCACGCUAUCAGAUGAGCCUAGGUCGGAUUAGCUAGUUGGUGGGGUAAAGGCCUACCAAGGCGACGAUCCGUAACUGGUCUGAGAGGAUGAUCAGUCACACUGGAACUGAGACACGGUCCAGACUCCUACGGGAGGCAGCAGUGGGGAAUAUUGGACAAUGGGCGAAAGCCUGAUCCAGCCAUGCCGCGUGUGUGAAGAAGGUCUUCGGAUUGUAAAGCACUUUAAGUUGGGAGGAAGGGCAGUAAGUUAAUACCUUGCUGUUUUGACGUUACCAACAGAAUAAGCACCGGCUAACUUCGUG